rnacentral:rRNA from 1 species
AUACGUAGGGGGCGAGCGUUGUCCGGAAUGAUUGGGCGUAAAGGGCGCGUAGGCGGCGCGGUAAGUCUGGAGUGAAAGUCCUGCUUUCAAGGUGGGAAUUGCUUUGGAUACUGCCGCGCUUGAGUGCAGGAGAGGUUAUCGGAAUUCCCGGUGUAGCGGUGAAAUGCGUAGAGAUCGGGAGGAACACCAGUGGCGAAGGCGGGUAACUGGACUGCAACUGACGCUGAGGCGCGAAAGUGUGGGGAGCAAACAGGAUUAGAUACCCUGGUAGUCCACACCGUAAACGAUGAAUGCUAGGUGUAAGAGGUAUCGACCCCUUUUGUGCCGGAGUCAACACAAUAAGCAUUCCGCCUGGGGAGUACGGCCGCAAGGUUGAAACUCAAAUGAAUUGACGGGG